rnacentral:rRNA from 1 species
GAGUUUGAUCCUGGCUCAGAUUGAACGCUGGCGGCAGGCCUAACACAUGCAAGUCGAGCGGCAGCACGGGAAGCUUGCUUCCUGGUGGCGAGCGGCGGACGGGUGAGUAAUGCAUAGGAAUCUGCCCGAUAGUGGGGGAUAACCUGGGGAAACUCAGGCUAAUACCGCAUACGUCCUACGGGAGAAAGCAGGGGAUCUUUGGACCUUGCGCUAUCGGAUGAGCCUAUGUCGGAUUAGCUAGUUGGUGAGGUAAUGGCUCACCAAGGCGACGAUCCGUAGCUGGUCUGAGAGGAUGAUCAGCCACAUCGGGACUGAGACACGGCCCGAACUCCUACGGGAGGCAGCAGUGGGGAAUAUUGGACAAUGGGGGCAACCCUGAUCCAGCCAUGCCGCGUGUGUGAAGAAGGCCUUCGGGUUGUAAAGCACUUUCAGUGAGGAAGAAGGCCUCGGGCUUAAUACGUCCGAGGGAGGACAUCACUCACAGAAGAAGCACCGGCUAACUCCGUGCCAGCAGCCGCGGUAAUACGGAGGGUGCGAGCGUUAAUCGGAAUUACUGGGCGUAAAGCGCGCGUAGGUGGCGUGAUAAGCCGGUUGUGAAAGCCCCGGGCUCAACCUGGGAACGGCAUCCGGAACUGUCAUGCUAGAGUGCAGGAGAGGAAGGUAGAAUUCCCGGUGUAGCGGUGAAAUGCGUAGAGAUCGGGAGGAAUACCAGUGGCGAAGGCGGCCUUCUGGACUGACACUGACACCGAGGUGCGAAAGCGUGGGUAGCAAACAGGAUUAGAUACCCUGGUAGUCCACGCCGUAAACGAUGUCGACUAGCCGUUGGGAGCCUCGAGUUCUUAGUGGCGCAGUUAACGCG